GUUGGAGUAGCUUAGUCAGGCAACUGAGCAUCUUAUCUAAUUAUGUAUAUAUUGUAGAUGAGAAUCGCACCAGGCUACUUGUACUGCUCAUAUUGAAGCUUGAUGCAUUCAGAAUGGCAUCAGACUAUCAGAGUUUGAAAAUCUUUUGGUUAAUCACAUGGGCCGAUGAUGGAGCUGAGUCAAGAGCAUCUCUUCCAAGCGUCUGGACUUUAUUAGAGUUAUUGGGAAGAGGAUGGGGCAAAUGAGCAUGCAUCCAAUACUUGAUCGGAAGUCAAACUGCUAUUCGUCAAGUUCCCCAACUCUGAAAUUCACCCUCUCAGUCUACUUCACAAGUUUCCUGAACCAGCUCUGAGUAGAGAGGGUCUUGGGGAAGGAUGGAAAGGGUUUGUGUACUCUUUGCAAGAGGUUUAUGACAAGAAUGGUGCUUUGGAGAAGAUUCGGAGCUUGAAUGGUCACGAUGAUGGCAACUCGAUUUACGAAUCUGUUGUGUUGUUCCACAGCAGAGGUGAGGAAAGAGACGGAUGCCUAGUCGGAGAGAAGAUUUGCUCAGUUUAGGUAGGCAGUCUGAGUUUGGUAACUAGUUGCAUUAUGACUAGUGAGUAGUUGUAAUCACCUAUUGAUUUACUGUCAUUUUGAUCGACAUUUUAUGUAAUUACUCAGUAUUCAGUAUUCUACUUAUCAGGCUUUUGCAUGAAAUUACGUACUCAU